rnacentral:rRNA from 1 species
UACGAAGGGGGCUAGCGUUGUUCGGAAUUACUGGGCGUAAAGCGCACGUAGGCGGGCGAUUAAGUCAGGGGUGAAAUCCCGGGGCUCAACUCCGGAACUGCCUUUGAUACUGGUCGUCUAGAGAUCGGAAGAGGUGAGUGGAAUUCCCAGUGUAGAGGUGAAAUUCGUAGAUAUUGGGAAGAACACCAGUGGCGAAGGCGGCUUACUGGUCCGAAACUGACGCUGAGGUGCGAAAGCGUGGGGAGCAAACAGG